rnacentral:rRNA from 1 species
GAUGAACGCUGGCGGCGUGCCUAAUACAUGCAAGUCGAGCGAACAGACGAGGAGCUUGCUCCUCUGACGUUAGCGGCGGACGGGUGAGUAACACGUGGAUAACCUACCUAUAAGACUGGGAUAACUUCGGGAAACCGGAGCUAAUACCGGAUAAUAUAUUGAACCGCAUGGUUCAAUAGUGAAAGACGGUUUUGCUGUCACUUAUAGAUGGAUCCGCGCCGCAUUAGCUAGUUGGUAAGGUAACGGCUUACCAAGGCAACGAUGCGUAGCCGACCUGAGAGGGUGAUCGGCCACACUGGAACUGAGACACGGUCCAGACUCCUACGGGAGGCAGCAGUAGGGAAUCUUCCGCAAUGGGCGAAAGCCUGUCGGAGCAACGCCGCGUGAAUGAUGAAGGUCUUCGGAUCGUAAAACUCUGUUAUUAGGGAAGAACAAAUGUGUAAGUAACUAUGCACGUCUUGACGGUACCUAAUCAGAAAGCCACGGCUAACUACGUG